rnacentral:rRNA from 1 species
GAUGAACGCUGACAGAAUGCUUAACACAUGCAAGUCGAUGGGGAAGUGGUGCUUGCACCCUGGUAACCAUGGCGGACGGGUGGGUAACGCGUAAGGAACUUACCUGCGGGACCGGGAUAACAGCAGGAAACUGCUGACAAGACCGGAUAAGGUCAUUAAGCUGCAUAGCUUAGUGAUGAAAGGAGACGCCUGCGGAGAGCCUUGCGUCCUAUUAGCUAGUUGGAGGGGUAACGGCCCACCAAGGCGAAGAUAGGUAGCCGGCCUGAGGGGGUGGACGGCCACAAGGGGACUGAGAUACGGCCCUUACUCCUACGGGAGGCAGCAGUGGGGAAUAUUGGACAAUGGGGGCAACCCUGAUCCAGCAAUUCUGUGUGCACGAAGACGGUUUUCGGAUUGUAAAGUGCUUUCAGCAGGGAAGAAGGAAGUGACGGUACCUGCAGAAGAAGCGACGGCUAAAUACGUG